rnacentral:rRNA from 1 species
GAUGAACGCUGGCGGCGUGCCUAAUACAUGCAAGUCGAGCGCGAAGAUCAGGAGCUUGCUCCUGAGAUUUGAGCGGCGGACGGGUGAGUAACACGUAGGCAACCUACCCUUGAGAUUGGGAUAACUACCGGAAACGGUAGCUAAUACCGGAUACGACCUUUCCACAUAAGUGGAACUGUUAAAAGGCGGAUUUAUCUGCCGCUC